UACGUAGGGGGCAAGCGUUGUCCGGAUUUAUUGGGCGUAAAGAGCGUGUAGGCGGCUAGGUAGGUCCGUUGUGAAAACUCGAGGCUCAACCUCGAGACGCCGAUGGAAACCAUCUAGCUAGAGUCCGGAAGAGGAGAGUGGAAUUCCCGGUGUAGCGGUGAAAUGCGCAGAUAUCGGGAAGAACACCCGUGGCGAAGGCGGUUCUCUGGGACGGUACUGACGCUGAGACGCGAAAGCGUGGGGAGCGAACAGG
rnacentral:rRNA from 1 species